rnacentral:rRNA from 1 species
CCAAUGGAAGGGAACACUUAGUGGCGGACUGGUGAGUAACGCGUGAGGAACCUGCCUUUCAGAGGGGGACAACAGUUGGAAACGACUGCUAAUACCGCAUGAAGCAUACGGAUCGCAUGGUCUGUAUGCCAAAGAUUUAUCGCUGAAAGAUGGCCUCGCGUCUGAUUAGCUAGUUGGUGGGGUAACGGCCCACCAAGGCGACGAUCAGUAGCCGGACUGAGAGGUUGAACGGCCACAUUGGGACUGAGAUACGGCCCAGACUCC